rnacentral:rRNA from 1 species
CAGCAGCCGCGGUAAUACGUAGGUGGCGAGCGUUGUCCGGAAUUAUUGGGCGUAAAGCGAGCGCAGGCGGUUAGAUAAGUCUGAAGUUAAAGGCUGUGGCUUAACCAUAGUACGCUUUGGAAACUGUUUAACUUGAGUGCAAGAGGGGAGAGUGGAAUUCCAUGUGUAGCGGUGAAAUGCGUAGAUAUAUGGAGGAACACCGGUGGCGAAAGCGGCUCUCUGGCUUGUAACUGACGCUGAGGCUCGAAAGCGUGGGGAGCAAACAGGAUUAGAUACCCGCGUAGUCCCUGUCUCUUAUACA